AUUCUGUGAUGAGAGAAUAUUUGUAAUGGUUCUUUAAACCUCUCCCAUGCCUCAUACAAGGACUCAUCAUCCAAUUGUUGGAAGGUAGUAAUCCCGUUCCUCAACUU
rnacentral:snoRNA from 1 species